AUUCUGCCCAUGCGGGGAAGGAUGAGAAGCUUCGACUAAGGUUCGAUUCGAGCGUAGCGAGAAAGCGUUGCCGCAGGCAACGACCCGAAGGGCGAGGCGCAGCCGAGUAAUCCUUCCCCCACCACCA
rnacentral:sRNA from 1 species